CAGAUGCUUGGAGCUCUGCCCCAGUUUUCUUCAUUGGCUUGCCAACUGGCUUGUAUUCAUCAUUGAAAAUCAUUUCUUGUCUUGAGCGUAUUGGCAAAACAUUGAUGUCAACCUUAAGAUGAUCCACUGGUGAGUGAUCGACACUUCCAUUUGUGACUCCAUUCAUAUAUGCCCCAUUGGGAACAUUAAUCUUUGUUGCUUCAUUCAAGCUGUUGUCAAGGGAAGAUAGGAAGGUGAACAAGAAACUGACAGCCAAGCUGAUUCUAUACUCAGGAUGUGUUGUGCCUUCUGAUGGUGAAAUUGUCUCUUUAAGCAGCUGAACUGCUUCAAAUAUAACAAAAGAGGUCACCGAUUUGCCCUUCAGGAAAUCCUCAACCUUCCUAGCUCUGAUGGCAUGCUCGGCUCCGUAAGCACCAAACGCCAAGCAUAUAUCCUCAAUGUGAUCGCCUCCUGAUGACCUUGCCAAGAAAGCGGAAUUAACAUAUGAGACGGCAUUGCCACAUGGACGAGGGGAGGCUCGGAAAGUCUCAAAAGUGAUGCCAUCUGCCCCCCUAUCUGGGAUGAAUAUGCUCAGCAACAGAGUCCUAGAAUCACAUUGAGGCUGCUGCAAGAACUCUUCCAAAGUUAGGCACAGCCUUUUGGAAGCCACCUGGAUAGUGACGGUUGAACCUGCAGCUAGUAGUACUGUUGCAAUGUCUGACGGGAACUGCAACCUCUGUGCCAUGAUUAUGUUUCCACCGAUGGUUGCAGUGUUCCGAACAAAUGGUGAAGCCACUUUGUUCAGGUGAUCAGCAAUCUUUCUGAAGACCAAGUUUCCAUCUGACAACACGUCAAUUGCUUUAGAGAUGGACACAACUGAUCCAAGCUCAAUUCCCUUGUUGCUUCUGUUGAUAACUGAAAGCUCUGGGAUCCCUUUGAUGUCAAUGUACUUGUCAUGGAGGUCUUGAUCCUUGUACACUCCAGACCCAGUGUUUGAAGCCACAAUCUUUACAGAAUUCUCAUCAAAGGAAAUAGACUCGAACAGCCUCUCAAGCUCGUCAAUGCUCUUAGGACGGUACCAGCCAUCAUCAGAAACCGGAACCCGAGCAUUGUUCGUCUGCUCUACUGAGGCCUUGAUCUCAGAUUUGAGAAACUCCGGGAAAGUGCAGAUGGCACCACUGUUGUAGCCGGGCAACUUGCUGACUUGUGCAGGUUCGCUACCCUUCUUCCAGAAGCAGUUGAGACCCAGGUCCUCAAGAUCAACGUCGGCAGCGAAGCUCUUGCAGGCGUCAACGAUGGGCCUGUACCCUGUGCACCGGCACAGGUUGCCUGAGACAGCCUUCUCAGCCUCCGAUGUGGUGAGCUUGGAGAAACCGGCGGGUGGGGCCGGGCGGUUGGCCGCCUUAUCAGCCUUGACAAGCGCGGAGAAGAUGGACAUGCACAUGCCAGGUGUGCAGAAGCCGCACUGCGAGGCGUGGAAGCCUGAGAGGCGCUGCUGCACGGGGUGGUAGCCAUCCUUGAUGUUGCCAAUGCCUUCGCUGGUGGUCACCGAGCAGCGGUCCACGCUAUGGAGCAGCGUCAGGCAGGAGCUCACCGAGGACUCGGUCACCUCGUCGGAGGCCGGGUCGUACUUGGAGACAAGGACGACGCAUGCACCACAGCCGCCUGCACAGCAGGGUGAAAUUGAAAAGGAGCAACAGUGAAGGUUUGGCAUGUUGCCUGGAUAGCGUUUGGUCGGCAACUUUUCCUGCUUAGUCGCUGAUGUUCUGAUGAUAGAUGAAGAAGACCUGAGGAGCAGAAACGGGAAAUCUGUCGGCUGCUGGAAACAGAGUGGUCUUCAACCUUGGUGCUGGACUGGAAUCACUGGAUGUUCAGUAUGCUUGGGUAGGGUAGCUAUCUCUUCCUGGCCUCCUUUCGUGUUUGGGUAUGAGAGCAGGCUAGAUGCCCGGGGGCACUUCAGCUCCUGAAAUAACCCGGGACGUAUCCCCCUACAGCGCUUUCUGCUGAACACUCUACUGGAUAUUGUGUUUUCUUAAAAAAAAAGAAGGAUAUUGUUUCAGGAUUUUGUUCGGACAGUAUACUUGUGAGAAUUUUCACUGGAUAUAUAGGUGGAUCUCCUGUGCCUUUCCACGGCUUCAGGUUUGUUGGAGCUUCCGUGAGAUGGCGACAUUCCAGAACAGGAAAAUCGAAGCUAGCUAUGGCCGCCGAAACCGGUGUGGCGGUGUACGUACGGACGGUGAGGCCUGCGUGCAUGGUGCACGUGUGCGCGGGUUCCCUCGCCACUAUUCCUUUGUCUGUACAGUUCACUGCGAAGCUAGAGAAUGGGAGCUCGUGUGUGUAUGGAUAGCAAUUAUCAGCAGCCUCAGCUUCACUAGCUGAAGCUCGGCCACGAGUCAUGGUCAUGGGCGUAUGCAAGGGUAUGCCGGUUGGGUGAAGAUCUGAUCAGGCUCAUAUAUAUAGUAUAGGGAGUCAAAAUGAUUUUCUUUUCUCAGUGAGCACUUACGUGGGUAUAUUUUUUUUAACCUCUGAGCAUUUUCUCCCCUUCGGCAACCAGUACUCUUGGAGCCUUUCUCUCAACUUCUGUUUUACAGUCUCAACUUCUGUGUUACAAGUUCCCCCUGUCCACCACAUCGAGGUAAUUCACAUUUACACUUUCGUGCAAUCUCUACUAGUUCUUCUCUGUCUCUCGCACGCACAUAGGAGAGUUAGAUCUAGACAAUUACUAGUAGACAUCUAAUCAUCUUUUUUUUCUUUGGGAAAGACAUUUGGUCAUAUUAUAUCAUGUAAAUUGGAAUUAUUAGGUUACAAUUGAUAUGAUUGUGCUACUUAAAUA